CGCGCAUGCGCGGUGCGGAGGGCGGGAGGCGUGCAGCUGGAACUCAUUGCCCGCGGGUUGGCGUCCGCGUUGCCACGGCGACCGCCCCGGCGGCGCCAGCUGGGCCGCGGCGUGAAUGGGUGAUGUCACGCGGCCGGCGCCGGCCGGUCUGGGCCGCGGGGCCGAGCCGCCGGCCAGGGGAGCCCGGGAAAGCGGGGUGUGGUGGGGGGGAUAGAGAGGUUUGAUGCCGCUCCUCCGCUUCCCGCUCGUUCUCGGGCGCUGCAGAAGGGCCUUUGCGGGGUGACGACCGCUCGCCGCCUCCCGGCGUAGUCGAGCUUCCCUCGCGCACGGCCCGCAGAGCCUUCGUAUGUAAUUCACCGCUGUGCCACUCACUGUACGUGGGCCCAGCAGAAGCUGUCAGGGGAGCCGGCAGGAGACGAGGGUCGGGUGUGAACGGGAACCAAAGGCACGGAGCUGCCGCAGCGCGCUGGGGGACGAAGUGCCCCCCCCGCCAAGGACGGCCGUCCCUUCGUCCUGCCCGUGCGCGGCGGCUCCGGGCCGCGUGUGGGAGCCCUCAGGAGUGGGGAACCGGCACCCGUCAAUAACGCCCCAAAGAGCCCCGAUGCCUUCAGGUUUGCCUCACUGUGGGUGCCCCAGCCCUGGAGGCGCUCAAGGCCAGCUUGGAUGUGGCGCUGGGCAGCCUGAGCUGGUGGGUGGCAGCCCUGCGUGUGGCAAGAGGGUUGCAGCUUAACAUCCCGUCCAACCUAAGGUGCAGAUCCAGUCUGUGGCAAGGUGAGAGCUCACCCUGCAAACAUCCACCUAAUUGUGCUUACGGCCAGCCUCGACCGCAACACAAAGCGCUGAUUUCCUCUAGUUUGCUGGAUGCUUUGGAAACCCGAGGACGGCGAGGAAGCCGAGUGUAUGUAAAUGUGAUUGCAGAGCGAGGUUUCUAAUUGUCUUUCUGAUUAUUUGGUCUUUUAAACUGCUCGAUGUGGUGUUUAAGCAACCCACAGCCGUUCAGAUCGCAGCGGGCUUUUAACACUGCGUGAUUCUGGUGGGUGCUUAAGGGAAACGGAUCCGGGAGCAGCCCCUGACACCGGCCGCCUCCAUCAGGUUUCAAGCCUCUGCAAGAUCCUGACUGCUAGGGAACAAAGGCUGGUAUGCGGUUCCCUCAAAGGUCAGUCAUUAACCUGCCCCAACAACAGUUUUAGGAAGAUCAAGGCAAUGAAGAAAAAAAAAUAUACAAGAAAAAGCACUUUCACUUCGGAAUGAAUUGUUGAAAGUGCCCUUAUACAUUCAGUUUUAUUCCCUUUCAGCUCCGCACUUUUUAGUUCCUGCACGUAUUUAUUUCUCAUCAGGAAUAAUGGCAAGAUUUGCUCUCCCAGAGAUUUGACCUUAAGUUUAUUCUACCCACAACACUAUAGACCAUUUCAUCAAUUAUGAAUGUACCCAUGUGUAUAGAGGAACUGGUAAGCCAGCUCAGUAAUACUACCUUGUUCUGGAGACUUACCCUUAUAAAUAAAUUAGGGGCAUAUCUUUAUGAAAAACCAAAGACAGAGAGAAAGAAAGACUGAAAGCAAGUAAGACAGAAAGCAAGAAAGGAAGGAAGGGAGAAAGAAAGGGAGAAAGAAAGAAAGGAAGGAAGGAAAAUCUAGAAAGCCACAUUUUUUUUUAAGAUAAAAGGGCAGUGGCUAGCAUCAAAAGUGUUUUCUCUGUGAUUUGUAUUUUGAAUGUCUGUGUGUCUAUAUAAAGAGAUAAAAUGCUGGAUAUGCAGUAGCCAGACUAUCAAUAAGACAGUUAUUUCCAUAAGUUAUUGAUGACCCUUUAGCUCACAAGUGACAGGCCAAAGUAGAGCCAUGAGCAACUUAUGAAAGGUCAUCAAUAACAACUGAAAAUAAAUGUUGUGUCCAGUGCAUGCCCACUGUGUGUCCUGUUUAUACAAUGCCAGUGUAAGUUUCUUGUGGUGUAGUUUUUAAUAAGCUGUAACAACCUUAGUCCCUGCCUGAAGCAGCGAGGUUUUCCGGCAGCAGAGGAAGGAGGAGGUGCACACAUUCCCAUGAGGCUGCUCACACUCCUCAUGAGUACUUUUUGUCAGAUGCAAAGGUAAAAGCUUGCAUCUCUCAGCACACCAGGAUGAAACAGGACCCUGGGGAGUGAAAGGAGAGACCACGCGCAUCACUAAAACAUUAAACACUGUGGACAAUCCUGGUGCUGCAGUGUAAGACUGCUCAGAAGUAAGAAGAUACAGAGGAGUCAGGGAGAGGAAAAAGGAGAAGCUGAGAUGCAGGGUUGUAAAUAAAUCAUACCCUGUGUUAAGAUUGCAAAUACAUAAUAUGCUAUUAAGGUAUUUCUAAUAGUAAUCUGUAUCAUGCUGCAAGGAGGAUUGAUGCACUGUGUGUGGUAAGAACAUUCUGGAGGCAAAAGAAAGAUCUUUCUGUCUACCUGGAGUCUUACUCCCCAUGGAAAGGCUGCAAUGGACACCGGAUGCGGUCCAGUGGGGAACAAACACUUAGUUUUACCUGCUUGUUGGCAGAUUUUGCUUUCAGUAACCAUCAUCCUGAAACUCACUGAUGUUUAAUUAAAGUUCUAUGUUUAAAAAAAAUAUGUUUGCUUUCUCUCAUAUUUGCAUUUUCACAUCUGAAAAAAUGAUGUUUGGAGAAAUUGCUUUUCCAGAGCUGGAAGGAGAGUCACUAUUUCAAGAGGUUGGUCUGCAAUAAGUUAAUGGCUUUGCAUCCAGUUGUGAAACUUCUGCUCACUGGAGCAGUCCCCAUACCCUCAUCCUCAGGCAAAUAAGCUCAUUAACUUCAAGACAUACUUCCUAUAUAAGCAAGGAUUUGUGCUGCUUUUCAAGUCAAUUUCCUCAUUGAGGUAAAUUAAGAGAUUUGCUCGAAAAACAUACAGCAGUGCAUUAAAGUGUUGAAAGAGCAUGUUAGUAGAGUAAAAAUUACCAAAAUAAAUGUCAUUAACACUUCAAGGUAAGUAUGUGGAAACAUGCUGGUAUUGAAGACAACUUGAAAUAGUUACUUAGCAUAAGCUGUGUGAUUACCGAAUAUAUUCUCAUGUAUGCACGUCAUUUAACUCUAAGAAAACAAAAGUCAAAACUGCAAGAAAAUUUGCAUGUUGAAGCAUUUUUAACAGCCAUUCUGAACGUGUCUUGACUUCCAUGUAGUUGGCCCCCUGCACAAGAAGGAAAAAAACAUGAAGAAUUGCUAUACGAUUACUCUGGAAUGGAAAAUAACAUUAAUUCCCAUUUCUUAUAAGGGAAAAUUAGUAAGUCGCAGAGUAUACUUAACGGUGACGAAUUGCAGUUCAUGGAUCAUUGUCCGAUAUCCUCCUUACAUCCAUCUUUCUUUUUAUCUGCAUCUCCAGCCAUUUGCACUCUGUAAUGUGUAUCUUGAUUUUAAUUCACUGUGCUGCGCAGUGGUUUUCAUUACACAGUCCCGUUGUCCUAGGUAAUACAUGAGGUCAUUCUAGUAUGAAACACUGUUGGAAUUAACACCCAGGAGUGUGACCCUGACUACCUGAAGGAGACAAUGCCCCUCUCACUUAUUUUAUUGCUCUCUAAACGUGGCAUCCCACCGGAGCUGUAUUCUGCCAACAAAAGGUGAGGGCUUUUGUUUCCUUCAGCGGCAACUUUCCCACAAGCAAUGUAAGCUAUAAAGAAUGAUCACAAAAGACAUCCUACCAGGAAUUAAUACAAACUUUUUUAUUAUUAUUAUUAUUUAGCACAGUGCUUUUUCAAACACACAUAAAUACAUAAGCAAAGCAAAACAUACUGACGACCUUAGAAAUAAUCUUCUACUACUCUACAGUUUCUUCCAUCUGCCGGAUGGAAGAGAAGAACGAGGCAGAGCUUUUUACUUCUGUUACUUGGUUGAUCCUCAUGUGAUAUGGCAACAGGAACUCCACAGCAGGUAAAUGAAUAGAUAAUAAGGUUACACAGCGUUCUGCUCAUCUUGGAAGGGCAUGAGGUGGCCCAUCAACAACUGAAGUAUGGGGGUUUGAAGGCACC
rnacentral:lncRNA from 1 species